CAUACAGCUUUCCCUUGCUGGACUGGGAUGGACAUAUAUCACACUCAUCCAUUUCAGUGGAGCAAUGCAGUAAACAAGCAUCCACUGUCACUUUAUGGUAGAUACUAAAAAAGUUUAUAUUCCCUCCCAGCUGAAUUUAUUUGCGUUUAACUCCCCAUACACUAAUUUUUAAUACUGUAGUUAAAAUACUUCAUCCUACUCUACCGAAGAAAGGAAACUUUACAGAGUUAUUAAUAUGCUGAUGUUUCAGAGAUCUAUUCGUCUUCUACAGGCAGAAAUAUCCUGGCUGCUAUAUACUGCAGUGAAAGGAAAACACUACGAAGUAAGAUCCUUGUGAGGAUCAAAUGUUUCCAUGCCCUUUUGUUGAUGAACCUGUGACAGCCCCUUCAAAAAUGUAUAAAGAAGCAGUGCUGAGACAUGCAUAGGAAUCCAUCAGGGAAUUAACAACCUGUGGUUUGCAGGAGCUUUUGUCCUUGGCAGAGUAUUUUCAGCACAGGAGAGAAGGUUCUAAAUAAAUCAAUUUUCCUCAAA